rnacentral:rRNA from 1 species
AGUGGAUGGGGAGCAACCUAGUUGUGCGUGUGUAAAGGUAGUGCCAAGAAAAGCGAUGAUCAUGUUGAAAAUCAAUUCCCGGUACCCGAAACCGACACAGGUGGGCAAGUAGAGAAUACUAAGGGGCGCGAGGUAACUCUCUCCAAGGAACUCGGCAAAAUGACCCCGUAACUUAGGGAGAAGGGGUGCCACCGAGAGGUGGUCGCAGUGAAGAGGCCCAGGCGACUGUUUAGCAAAAACAUAGGUCUCUGCAAACUCGAAAGAGGAGGUAUAGGGGCUGACGCCUGCCCAGUGCCGGAAGGUUAAAGAAGUUGGUCAGUUUUAGGAUGAAGCUAGCGACUGAAGCCCCGGUGAACGGCGGCCGUAACUAUAACGGCCCUAAGGUAGCGAAAUUCCUUGUCGGGUAAGUUCCGACCCGCACGAAAGGCGUAACGAUCUGGGCGCUGUCUCGGAGAGAGGCUCGGCGAAAUAGGAUUGUCUGUGAAGAUACGGACUACCUGCAUUUGGACAGAAAGACCCUAUGAAGCUUUACUAUAGCUUGGAAUUGUGUUCGGGCUUCCUGUGCGCAGGAUAGGUGGGAGGCGUAGAAGGUAUUCUUGUGGGGAUACUGGAGCCAACGGUGAGAUACCACUCUCAGGAGGCUAGAAUUCUAACUUAAUUAAGGACAGUUUCAGGUGGGUAGUUUGACUGGGGCGGUCGCCUCCAAAAAGGUAACGGAGGCGUACAAAGGUUCCCUCAGACUGGUUGGAAAUCAGUCGAAGAGUGCAAAGGCAGAAGGGAGCUUGACUGCGAGAAGUACAGUUCGAGCAGGGUGGAAACACGGUCUUAGUGAUCCGACGGUGCUGUGUGGAAGGGCCGUCGCUCAACGGAUAAAAGUUACUCUAGGAUAACAGGCUGAUCUCCCCCAAGAGUUCACAUCGACGGGGAGGUUUGGCACCUCGAUGUCGGCUCAUCGCAACCUGGGGCGGAAGUACGUCCCAAGGGUUGGGCUGUUCGCCCAUUAAAGCGGUACGUGAGCUGGGUUCAGAACGUCGUGAGACAGUUCGGUCCAUAUCCGAUGUAGGCGUGAGAAUAUUGAGAGGAGCCUUCCUUAGUACGAGAGGACCGGGAAGGACGCACCGCUGGUGUACCUGUUAUGAUGCCAAUUGUAAACGCAGGGUAGCCAAGUGCGGAGAGGAUAACCGCUGAAAGCAUCUAAGUGGGAAGCCCACCUCAAGAUGAGUAUUCUGGUGUAAGGUCACGGGAAGACGACCCGUAAAUAGGCACGAGGUGGAAGUGCAGAGAUGUAUGAAGCCGAAGUGUACUAAUAGACCGUCGGCUUGACC